GACGUAGGGCGCGAGCGUUGUCCGGCAUCAUUGGGCGUAAAGCGCGUGUAGGCGGCCCGGUAAGUCCGCUGUGAAAGUCGGGGGCUCAACCCUCGAAUGCCGGUGGAUACUGUCGGGCUAGAGUGCGGGAGAGGCGAGUGGAAUUCCUGGUGUAGCGGUGAAAUGCGCAGAUAUCAGGAGGAACACCAAUUGCGAAGGCAGCUCGCUGGAACGUAACUGACGCUGAGACGCGAAAGCGUGGGGAGCAAACAGG
rnacentral:rRNA from 1 species